rnacentral:rRNA from 10 species
UUACCAUGCAAGUCGCACGAAACCUUUCGGGGUUAGUGGCGGACGGGUGAGUAACGCGUAGGAACCUAUCUGGAGGUGGGGGAUAACAUCGGGAAACUGGUGCUAAUACCGCAUGAUGCCUGAGGGCCAAAGGAGAGAUCCGCCAUUGGAGGGGCCUGCGUUCGAUUAGCUAGUUGGUUGGGUAAAGGCUGACCAAGGCGAUGAUCGAUAGCUGGUUUGAGAGGAUGAUCAGCCACACUGGGACUGAGACACGGCCCAGACUCCUACGGG